rnacentral:rRNA from 1 species
UACGGAGGGUGCAAGCGUUAUCCGGAUUCACUGGGUUUAAAGGGUGCGUAGGAGGGCAGGUAAGUCAGUGGUGAAAUCUCCGGGCUUAACUCGGAAACUGCCGUUGAUACUAUCUGUCUUGAAUACCGUGGAGGUGAGCGGAAUAUGUCAUGUAGCGGUGAAAUGCUUAGAUAUGACAUAGAACACCGAUUGCGAAGGCAGCUCACUACACGAAUAUUGACUCUGAGGCACGAAAGCGUGGGGAUCAAACAGGAUUAGAAACCCGU